AUUGAACGCUGGCAGCAUGCCUUACACAUGCAAGUCGAACGGCAGCGGACCUUCGGGUGCCGGCGAGUGGCGAACGGGUGAGUAAUAUAUCGGAACGUACCUUUCAGUGGGGGAUAACGUAGCGAAAGUUACGCUAAUACCGCAUAUUCUGUGAGCAGGAAAGCAGGGGAUCGCAAGACCUUGCGCUGAUUGAGCGGCCGAUAUCAGAUUAGCUAGUUGGUGAGGUAAAGGCUCACCAAGGCGACGAUCUGUAGCGGGUCUGAGAGGAUGAUCCGCCACACUGGAACUGAGACACGGUCCAGACUCCUACGGGAGGCAGCAGUGGGGAAUUUUGGACAAUGGGCGCAAGCCUGAUCCAGCCAUGCCGCGUGAGUGAAGAAGGCCUCGG
rnacentral:rRNA from 1 species